rnacentral:rRNA from 1 species
UAGAGUUUGAUCCUGGCUCAGAACGAACGCUGGCGGCGUGGCUAAGGCAUGCAAGUCGAACGGACUUCGCCCUUCGGGGCGAAAGUUAGUGGCGAACUGGUGAGGAAUACAUGGAUAACGUACCCCGGACACGAGGAUAGUCAGUCGAAAGGCUGAGUAAUACUCGAUAACCCCGCGGAGUCGCAUGGCUCUGCGGGCAAAUGCUCCGACGGUCCGGGAUCGGUCCAUGUCCUAUCAGCUUGUUGGUGAGGUAACGGCUCACCAAGGCAACAACGGGUAGCGGGCGUGAGAGCGCGUUCCGCCACAUCGGAACUGAGACACUGUCCGGACACCUACGGGUGGCUGCAGCAACGAAUAUUCCCCAAUGGACGCAAGUCUGAGGGAGCGACGCCGCGUGCAGGAGGAAGUCCUUCGGGAUGUAAACUGCUGUCAGGGGUUAGGAAUCAAUGACCAGCCCCAAAGGAAGCACCGGCUAACUCCGUGCCAGCAGCCGCGGUAAUACGGAGGGUGCAAGCGUUGUUCGGAAUUACUGGGCUUAAAGCGCGUGCAGGCGGAAUAUCAGGUGUCUUGUGAAAUCCCCGGGCUCAACCCGGGAACUGCUGGGCAAACCGGUAUUCUUGAGGCAAGUAGAGGUGACUGGAACAACUGGUGGAGCGGCGAAAUGCGUAGAUAUCAGUUGGAACGCCGGAGGCGAAAGCGGGUCACUGGGCUUGUUCUGACGCUCAGACGCGAAAGCGUGGGUAGCAAACAGGAUUAGAUACCCUGGUAGUCCACGCCGUAAACGAUGCGCACUAGGUAUGAGAGGUUCUGACGCCGAUCGUGCCGAAGCAAAAGUGGUAAGUGCGCCGCCUGGGGAGUACGGCCGCAAGGCUAAAACUCAAAGGAAUUGACGGGGGCUCACACAAGCGGUGGAGGAUGUGGAUUAAUUCGAAGCAACGCGAAGAACCUUACCUGGGUUUGCAUACUUGGAUGCUCUCCUGGAAACAGGAGCAGGCUGCCUUCGGGUGAAACUUGAACAGGUGCUGCAUGGCUGUCGUCAGCUCGUGCUGUGAAGUGUCGGGUUAAGUCCCUUAACGAGCGAAACCCCUAUCGUUAGUUGCCAGCGGGUAAAGCCGGGGACUCUAGCGAGACCGCCGGUGUCAAACCGGAGGAAGGUGGGGACGACGUCAAGUCAUCAUGGCCCUUAUGCCCAGGGAUUCUCACGUCCUACAAUGGUCGGUACAGAGCGAUGCGAGACCGCGAGGUGGAACAAAUCGCACAAAGCCGGCCCCAGUUCGGAUUGAAGUCUGCAACUCGACUUCAUGAAGGUGGAAUCGCUAGUAAUCGCGGAUCAGCUACGCCGCGGUGAAUGUGUUCCUGAGCCUUGUACACACCGCCCGUCAAGUCAUGGAAGCUGGGAGUACCCGAAGUCCGUUUAGCUAACCCGUAAGGGAGGCGGCGGCCGACGGUAAAUCCGGUGACUGGGACUAAGUCGUAACAAGGUAACC